GAUGAAGAACGUAGCGAAAUGCGAUAAGUAGUGUGAAUUGCAGAAUUUCCGUGAGUCAUCGAAUCUUUGAACGCACAUUGCGCCCACUGGUAUUCCGGUGGGCAUGCCUGUUCGAGCGUCAUUAUCCUCCCUCAAACCCCGGGUUUGGUGUUGGACCCAAGUUGUGUGAACAACUGGUCUCAAAGACAAUGACGGCGUCCGUGGGACCCUCGGUGCAACGAGCUUUUAGGAGCACGCGCCGAGUUGCAAGGACCUUCCGGGCCGGUCUCCUUUACUAUUUUACAAGGUUGACCUCGGAUCAGGUAGGAAUACCCGCUGAACUUAAGCAUAUCAAUAAGCGGAGGA
rnacentral:misc_RNA from 1 species